rnacentral:rRNA from 1 species
UACGUAGGGUGCAAGCGUUACUCGGAAUUACUGGGCGUAAAGGGUGCGUAGGUGGUUUGUUAAGUCUGAUGUGAAAGCCCUGGGCUCAACCUGGGAACUGCAUUGGAUACUGGCUUACUAGAGUGCGGUAGAGGGUGGCGGAAUUCCCGGUGUAGCAGUGAAAUGCGUAGAUAUCGGGAGGAACAUCCGUGGCGAAGGCGGCCACCUGGACCAGCACUGACACUGAGGCACGAAAGCGUGGGGAGCAAACAGG